CUCCUCUUGAAUAUCAUAGGAGGUAUGAUCUGCUCCAUGCAGAAGUAAAUUGCCGCAGUAUCUUGACUGUGCUAAGGUAGCAAAAUAAUUUGGCUUUUAAUUGGAGUCUGGAAUGAAUGAUUUGACAAGGUCUAGUCUGUCUUUCCUAUUAUCCUCGAAAUUAGAAUUUCUGUAAAAAUACAGAAAUAUGUGAGAGGGACGAAAAGACCCUAUAGAUCUUUACUCUUCGGAUUAAAUAGAUAUAAAGAUUUAUUAGGUUGAGUUUCCUUGGGGCAAGGCUAAAAGUUGAAUUUUGGUUGAAGGAAAAGACUGAUUAGUCAAAAAGACGAAAAAAAAUAAGAUAAGUUACCUUAGGGAUAACAGGAUAAUUUCUUUACUUAGAACUUAUAAGAAAAGGAGUUUGUCACCUCGAUGUUGAAUUAAGUUUUCUUUUAUUCGAAGAAGAAUAUGGAGUUAGUCUGUUCGACUAUUAAAAACUU
rnacentral:rRNA from 1 species